AUUGAACGCUGGCGGAAUGCUUUACACAUGCAAGUCGAACGGCAGCACGGACUUCGGUCUGGUGGCGAGUGGCGAACGGGUGAGUAAUGCAUCGGAACGUGCCCAAUCGUGGGGGAUAACGUAGCGAAAGUUACGCUAAUACCGCAUACGAUCUAAGGAUGAAAGCGGGGGAUCGCAAGACCCCGCGCGAAUGGAGCGGCCGAUGUUAGAUUAGGUAGUUGGUGGGGGAAAGGCUCACCAAGCCGACGAUCUAUAGCUGGUCUGAGAGGAUGAUCAGCCACACUGGGACUGAGACACGGCCCAGACUCCUACGGGAGGCAGCAGUGGGGAAUUUUGGACAAUGGGCGCAAGCCUGAUCCAGCCAUUCCGCGUGCAGGAUGAAGGCCCUCGGGUUGUAAACUGCUUUUGUACAGAACGAAAGGCUCUGGGUUAAUACCCUGGGGUCAUGACGGUACUGUAAGAAUAAGCACCGGCUAACUACGUGCCAGCCGCCGCAGUAA
rnacentral:rRNA from 1 species